GGAGGGUAAGCGAAUGGCUAGCGGCCUCACUGGAAAUGAGGUGCCCCUUUCUGGGGUUGUGGGUUCGAGUCCCAUGCCCUCCG
rnacentral:tRNA from 1 species